AAGACUUUGGUAUUCACACAGCAUUCGUGUUGGAGAUUGAAGGUCACUUUCUGACUGCUGACAAGUGGCCAGGCCUCAUCCAGCUCAACUACUCAUGGAGAUGCAGAUGCUGCUAGCUCACUCCCAUUCUCCCCUCAUCUUCACCAUCAGAAGUGGAGGGGGUGAUGCCUGGCUCAUGAUGGUCCUGUGCGAAAGGAGGGAGAACAAGCCCACAGUAGGCCUUCACCCAGAGGUGGCUACUAUGAUCACCUAGAUAUGCAUGCCCUGAAAGCUCAUGAGUGCACAGGAAGUGGAGGGAUAGCCUGGCAUCUUCCUGAAAAACCUACCCCUGAACACAAGGAAGAUAACACAAGGCCACACCAGAGACCCCUGUGGUUCACUUUUCUUCUUUCUCUUCCUAAUGAAGUAGGGCCCAGCUGCCUCCUUAAAGACUCUUCCACCUGUAUCCAGUUCCAUCACUUGGACAAGCCACCCUAGGACCCAGAUCCCAUUUUCUACUUUUGUUUGAGAACGUAGACCAUCUCUGGGAGGUAUGACAGUGUAGAUGACAUCAUCUCACAAAUGGAAAACCAGACCCUCAAAGGUAAAUAUUGCACUUGCACCCCAAUAGAGAGCUGGGAGCAGAGGCCAUUGUGAGGACUUGACACUCCAAGAUGCUAAAUGUGUCCUUGUUUUCUGCAAAACAAACAGAACACUAAGAGAAGUGAGGUUGUCUGCCUCAAAUGCAAAGUUGAAAUGAGUCUACUUGUAUGAUCUUCACGUGGACUAAAAUCAUCCACACAGAGGGCAGUGCAAGAUUGGACACCACAGAAGAAUGAACAAAAGGAAAUGACUCUAAAUUGCUCCAGAAUGAUUAGAGUUUGGUACCAGGAGAGAAAAACAAAAAUCAAACAACAAAAUAGGACAUGGGCGUUGGAGAACCUACCGAGGGUUUUCUAGGGGAGGCUGUCAGGCUGUCUUUCCCAGAGGCUCAUGGACAAGAGGACCACCUGUUAGGCAGGGAUGGGCUAAUAGAGAGGAGAUGAAACAAGUGACCCAUUGCUGCUCUGGUCUCAAGGUUGUGGCAGAAGUUCCUCCACAUGGAUCUCUUGUCAUUUUUAGGAGAAAGCUGCUUAUACAUGCAAACUUACCCCAACUAUGCUAAGACUUUGGUUUUAUUACUAGUUCUGCUGUUCAUAUCUCUUUUCUGUCAGAUCCCUGGGGAGGUGCAACUGCAAGCAGUGGUUGCAAAGUGACACUUACAUAUCUACCAGUCUGGCUCUAAAAGUCUCACCAAUGAACACCUAAGGCCCUGUGCUGCUUUCAUAGCUCUCUGAACACUGAGUUUUACCCAACAGUGCUUCCAACAUUUGAGUAGGAAAGAGAGAAGGGUGAAAAUAAUUGGCUUAUGAGGGUUUUCAAGGGUGAAUUUUGCUGACCUGAAUCAUUUGGCUGCUGCAUCCAGACACCUGCAGUAAUGUUUUCAAUAUGCAAGAGCAAAGAGGAAUUAGGUAUGCCAGAACAGAGUCGUUUGUGUUCUUUGCAGUCUGUUCUCUGUACAAUCACAAAGCAUUUUUUAAUGAUAUUUCAAAACACUUUUUCAAAGAGAGUUUAAUGCAAAGCAGAUUUCUUGUGUAACAAAGACAGGAAGGAUACUGCUUGACAGUAGCUCUUAAAUCCAAGACUACGGAGGCUAUCAAAAACAAUCGGCAGCAGGCCAAGAACUCAAAUUUUGACAAGAGUUGUCAGAUACUGUGAUUUAAGGGGCAAUACAAAUUUGUCAAAGGUGUCAUCCUUAGGUCAUCAAAAAUGUGUGUUGUGCUUAUCUAGAUUUCCCUCCAAAGGACUUGCAAAGGUUAAGAGAACAAGUGAUGAUGUCUGGACAGGCUUGCGAUCCCAGGCACAGGUUGUAAGGAGGGCAAGUGUGAACGAUGGGGCUUUGGGGAUUUUCACUGAUAAGAUUUUACCUGAAAGGUCAGGUGAGUCUCCCUCUGUAUUCAACACUCUUAGGGUGACAUUUGUAGGCAUAAAGACCCCAUUCUUGCCGUCAAAGAGUUUACAUCGAGAUAGCACUGCUUUCUCUCAGAGUGCCUAUGAAGCACUUAACAAUCAGGGACAAAAUCAAACAUGAGCUGUAAUAACAUCACCAAGGGCUGUGCAAAUUAUUUAACUCAUUUUGAAGUGAAGAAGCUAGUAAAAUGUCACAAAAGUUUCAAAGGAUAAUCCAAUAAUAAUUUAUGGAUUAAGAAUAUUGAAACAAAUUUGUAAACGGAAGCAAAACUGGCUUGGAGGGAAAGUCAUUGUUUCUUUUUGGGAUAUAAUUGAUUUGCAUGUCUAUGAACAAUUAUUUGCAUUACUAUCAAUUUUCCACAUGUUAGCCAAAAUAUCUACAGUAGUGUUAAACAGCUCGGAGAAAAGUCUCUGAUCCCUAAGGUCCAGAUCAUCCGAGGGACACCCUCAUCCAUUGAGAGGAUGCCCAGUAAUAUUUUUGCUUAUUCCAAAGUCUUGUAUUUUUCCUUACAUUGAUAAUUAAUGCUGGAUUCUGGAACACUUCAAACAUGUGUGAGAAAAUUGCUGUGUGGAUGUGGGAAAGGAUCAUGAAGCCAUCGGGGGAUGUGAGUAAUUCCCCUUCACACUGCACAUGAAAAGCCACUCUAUUAGUCCAUUCUCACACUGCAAUAAAGAACUACCUGAGACUGGGUAGUUUAUGAAGAAAAGAGGUUUAACUGACUCAGUUCUGCUGGUCGUACAGGAAGCAUGGUUGGGGAGGCCUCAGGAAACUUAUAAUCAUGGUGGAAGGGCAAAGGGGAAGCAAGCACCUUCUUCACAUGGUGGGGCAGGAGAGAGAGAGAAAAAAAACCCAAACACCGCAUGUUCUCACUCAUAGGUGAGAAUUGAAC
rnacentral:lncRNA from 1 species